GGGCCCGUAGCUCAGUGGAUAGAGCCAGCGACUUCUAAUCGCUUGGUCGGGGGUUCGAUUCCCUCCGGGCCCGCCA
rnacentral:tRNA from 1 species